GACAGAGGGUGCAACCGUUGUUCGGAAUUACUGGGCGUAAAGCGCGUGUAGGCUGCUUUGAAAGUCGGAUGUGAAAGCCCUGGGCUCAACCUAGGAAGUGCAUUCGAAACUUCGAAGCUGGAGUCCUGGAGAGGAAGGCGGAAUUCUCGGUGUAGAGGUGAAAUUCGUAGAUAUCGAGAGGAACACCGGUGGCGAAGGCGGCCUUCUGGACAGUGACUGACGCUGAGACGCGAAAGCGUGGGGAGCAAACAGG
rnacentral:rRNA from 1 species